UUAAGCAUAUCAAUAAGCGGAGGAAAAGAAACCAACAGGGAUUGCCCUAGUAACGGCGAGUGAAGCGGCAUCAGCUCAAAUUUGAAAUCUGGCUCUUUCAGAGUCCGAGUUGUAAUUUGCAGAGGGCGCUUUGGUGUCGGCAGCGGUCCAAGUUCCUUGGAACAGGACGUCACAGAGGGUGAGAAUCCCGUACGUGGUCGCUGACCUACACCGUGUAAAGCCCCUUCGACGAGUCGAGUUGUUUGGGAAUGCAGCUCUAAAUGGGAGGUAAAUUUCUUCUAAAGCUAAAUACUGGCCAGAGACCGAUAGCGCACAAGUAGAGUGAUCGAAAGAUGAAAAGCACUUUGGAAAGAGAGUCAAACAGCACGUGAAAUUGUUGAAAGGGAAGCGCUUGCAGCCAGACUUGCUUGUAGUUGCUCAUCCGGGCUUUUGCCCGGUGCACUCUUCUGCGAGCAGGCCAGCAUCAGUUUGGACGGUUGGAUAAAGGCCUCUGUCACGUACCUUCUCUCGGGAAGGCCUUAUAGGGGAGGCGUCAUGCAACCAGUCUGGACUGAGGUCCGCGCAUCUGCUAGGAUGCUGGCGUAAUGGCUGUAAGCGGCCCGUC
rnacentral:sRNA from 1 species